rnacentral:lncRNA from 1 species
AGACGGCCCGGGUGGCGCUGGGCAGCCGCCAGGCGGCACGUGGGGCGGCCCUGCUCCGCAGACUGUCUGCCUCAGCUUCCAAAACGCCCCGAGAAGCUGGGCGUGUGAGCGAGCCGGAGGCGUCCGCUGCUCGGAGCGUCCCCCCGGACUCAGGCCCCGGGCGCCGCCGCCUUCGGGGCUCACCUGGGUGCAGGUGUGUUCCCGGAGGCUUUUGCACGAGAGGGAGCGGGCCAGCGCCUCCGCGCCCAGUGCCCGUGGCUGCGCGUGCCUUUCUGGACGAUUUUCUAGCCCGUCUGCACCCGGGAGAGGAGAGGGCACGCAGCCUCGCUCCCAGCUCGCGUGAGACCCUCCCCGCGACCCUCCCUCGUUGCAGACGAGGCACGUCCAUAAGGAAACGGCCAUGAACUCACCUGCACCGGCCGCGGCUGCAGCGGCGGGGCGCGUCCGCGGUGUAGACGCCACCGGGUCGGAGGGCGGCAGCUGUGCUUCAGAGCCGGGGGUCAGGAAGCGGCGUCCUGUGGCCCCUGAGCGAGCCGGGGUCUGUGUGGGCGAACGGCCCCGGGGCCAGCGUCCCGAGCGGCCCCCAGGCUCGCGGCGCAGGAUCCAUGGCGAGCCGGCUGCACGCCCGCCGGACCAAGUCCCCAAGGCCACUUCCAGGCUCAGCGGCGCCUUGGACACUCGGGGAAGAGGAGGGAAGCUCGGACACAGGCUGCCACGUGGAGGGACCUUGAACCACGAUGCUCAGGGGGGACGCCAGACCCAGAAGGACACACGGUGUGGGAUUCCGUGGAUAGGACACGUCCAGAACAGAGGAGAGCAUGCCUUUCCCGCACCACCUGCAACUUGCAAGGUGCCUUUUUAUUUUUACCCUGCUGCUCAUGGCGCAAGAAAUGGCAUUAAAAUUCGGGAAUAAAUGAAGAAUUGACCAAGAAGAGACUGAGUGGCACAUGGCGGAUUUCAUUAAUAAGGCACCAUUCAUGGAGAACCCCUGGGCUGAUGCAUUUGCUGAGGAGGCGGGACCUCCAGACCUUGGCCUCAAGACCAGACCAGAGAAUCAAUAUGGCAGAGCUCCGAAGAGAAGGGUCAUCAAGGAGGAAAAUAAGAGACACAGAGGCAGACGCCCACAGGAAGGGCGGUCCUGUGACGGUGAAGACAGCACAGGAUACUGCCAGCCCAGGGACACCAGCAAUUGCCAGCAAACCGCUGGGACCUGUGGGAGAAGCCUGGGAAGACCCCUCUUUGGAGCCCGCAGGAGGAACCCAGCCAGCUCGCACCCUGAUUUCAGACCUCUGCUCUCCAGAACUGGGAGGGGACACGUUGCUGUUGUUUAAGCUUCUCUGUUGCGGGAAACAUCUUACAGCAGCCUUAGGAAACGCACAGAGGGAUGAAAAGAAAACAGCUGCUUAGCGAAGCGCAGAAAGGCCUUCAUUUUCUGCACGGGGUGGAAAGGCAGGCUUUUCUGUGGUUAAGGCAUGCAUUCCCGGGUGCUCAUUCCAGGUGUAUCUGCUACCCACCGAGGUGUAACAAAGGACUCCACAGGUAGAGGCCUCAAACCACACCCAUUUACCACGUCGCAGGUUCUGAAAGGCAGGGAUCCAGGCAGGAGCUGAUGGGGUUCUCUGCUCAAGGGUCACCAGGCCGAAAUCAGGGCUGGGGGGAGGCGUCUCUUCCACGCUCCGUGGCUGCUGGAAGAAUUCAGUGUCUUGUGCUGGAGCACAGAGAUUGUCAUCUCCCAGAAGCCACCUUUGCACCCCUGCCAAGUACUCUUUUCCCGCCAGGUACUUUGCUUCCUCGAGGCCACCGGGUUGUGUCUCUGCUGCUUCCAAGCACGCUGAGCUCGACACCUGAUGAGGCCAGGCCCACCCGGGAGGCUCUUCCAUGUGGUUGGCUUGACUCCGUGGAUAAAAGACUUCAGUGACACCUGCAAAAUCUCUUUGCCUUUGCCAUGCAAUCCCGGCAGUGACCCCUCGUCCUCCUCCCAGUCCGUGUCCGAUUUAGAGAGCCAUGCGCUCUGGCCCCCCGGGACAAAGAAUUAAGGCUGCCGGUCCAAGGGAACUUUGUUUUUUUCUGUUUCUGGGGAGCCUCCCAGGGAAGGAAAGUUUGCUCCAAAAUGUAAAAGGACUUUGUCUGAGCAUUUCCCACAUGAGGAUGAUUGUCUGUCUUGCGGGUUCCAUCAAAGUGACUGUCUCACAGUGUCGUUCGCGCUGCAAAUUGCUGCAUAGGAUGCAGUGGGCAAGCAGGUUCCCCAUUUAACAGCGGAAAUCAGAGCUGCUAUCCACCGGUGCGCAGCCUUUGAGAGAACGGCUUUCAAAAGAACAGCAAACACCGCUGCCUUCUCAGGAAGAGAAGGCAAAAGAAGAAAGCAAAGAUGCAUACCCCAAGGAGAAGCCUGGGUUCAGAGUGACCCCCCUCCCACAAAGUGGGGGGCCCUGGAGAGCCUCUGUUUCCUCCUUGCUGGGAAGAGGGCAUCAUCGCAUUUAUUUCAUGAACAGCAUUUAGUGGGACGGUGUGACCUGCACGUACCAGACACCCAGCCAAUACCCAGGAGCCUGUUUUUAGAAGCCCCCCUGACCUAGGGACCCCUCACCCACCCUCAUGCCUUCGGAAGCCUUUGGCACUUCUUUACAGAAAAACAGAGGGUCUGCGCUCCUGUUCCCCCACCUUAGAUGCUCGGUUUGGGACUUGGGACAUAUUUGAAGCAUCAGAAUCACAUGCCUUGGUUGUACAGUGCCUGCCAUCAAGUGGGAGCUUAAUAAGUUGCUGUUCAUUAAUGUACAAGUAUAAAUUACAUAAACAAAUAGUAUUAUGCAUAAACUGUAUACAAAAUGUAGUUUAUAUAAAAACUCAGUAUCUACCAAACACGUUCCAUAUAACACAUAAAAUAUACUGAUAGGAGUUCCUGCUGUGGUGCAGUGGGUUAAGGAUCCAGCAUUGCUGCAGCUGUGGUGUGGAUUCAAACUCUGGCCUGGGGAACUUCCUUUUGCCAUGGGUGCCGCGGAAAAAAGAUAAAAAAAUAUUAUAUGUUUACACGUAAAUUUUCAACACCAUUUAACAUUUACUUUAAAAUAAUAAACAUAUAAAAUGU